ACUCAAAUGAAUUGACGGGGGCCCGCACAAGCGGCGGAGCAUGUUGCUUAAUUCGAGGCAACGCGAAGAACCUUACCUAGGUUGAACUACGCUGGAAAAGCCGUAGAGAUACGGUGUCCUUCGGGGCCAGCGAUAGGUGGUGCAUGGCUGUCGUCAGCUCGUGUCGUGAGAUGUUGGGUUAAGUCCCGCAACGAGCGCAACCCUUGUCCUAUGUUGCCAGCGGAUUAUGCCGGGGACUCGUAGGAGACUGCCGGGGUCAACUCGGAGGAAGGUGGGGACGACGUCAAGUCAUCAUGCCCCUUAUGUCUAGGGCUGCAAACAUGCUACAAUGGCUGGUACAAAGGGCUGCUAUCCCGCGAGGGUGAGCGAAUCCCAAAAAGCCAGUCUCAGUUCGGAUCGCAGUCUGCAACUCGACUGCGUGAAGUCGGAGUCGCUAGUAAUCCCGGAUCAGCUACGCCGGGGUGAAUACGUUCCCGGGCCUUGCACACACCGCCCGU
rnacentral:rRNA from 1 species